rnacentral:rRNA from 1 species
GAUGAACGCUGGCGGCGUGCCUAAUACAUGCAAGUCGAGCGAACGGACGAGAAGCUUGCUUCUCUGAUGUUAGCGGUGGACGGGUGAGUAACACGUGGAUAACCUACCUAUAAGACUGGGAUAACUUCGGGAAACCGGAGCUAAUACCGGAUAAUAUUUUGAACCGCAUGGUUCAAAAGUGAAAGACGGUCUUGCUGUCACUUAUAGAUGGAUCCGCGCUGCAUUAGCUAGUUGGUAAGGUAACGGCUUACCAAGGCAACGAUGCAUAGCCGACCUGAGAGGGUGAUCGGCCACACUGGAACUGAGACACGGUCCAGACUCCUACGGGAGGCAGCAGUAGGGAAUCUUCCGCAAUGGGCGAAAGCCUGACGGAGCAACGCCGCGUGAGUGAUGAAGGUCUUCGGAUCGUAAAACUCUGUUAUUAGGGAAGAACAUAUGUGUAAGUAACUGUGCACAUCUUGACGGUACCCAAUCAGAAAGCCACGGCUAACUACGUG